rnacentral:ncRNA from 1 species
UUAUUGGAGAGUUUGAUCCUGGCUCAGGACGAACGCUGGCGGCGUGCCUAAUACAUGCAAGUCGAGCGAGUCCCUUCGGGGGCUAGCGGCGGACGGGUGAGUAACACGUAGGCAACCUGCCCGUAAGCUCGGGAUAACAUGGGGAAACUCAUGCUAAUACCGGAUAGAGUCUUCUCUCGCAUGAGAGGAGACGGAAAGGUGGCGCAAGCUACCACUUACGGAUGGGCCUGCGGCGCAUUAGCUAGUUGGUGGGGUAACGGCCUACCAAGGCGACGAUGCGUAGCCGACCUGAGAGGGUGACCGGCCACACUGGGACUGAGACACGGCCCAGACUCCUACGGGAGGCAGCAGUAGGGAA